AAAAAAAAAAAAAUGCACAAUCAUCAAAUUCCUAUAUACCCUACUCUCACAUAGCACACGUCGUCAUCACCUCCAUCUCGCCCCCAACCCCUUCCUCACCGGAUGCUCUCUUUAACAAAAAAGAAAACAAACGGGACAGUGCAUUCGCUAAAGACCUUCGAAUUUAAAUUGGAUUUUGGAACAAAGGCUGACAAUUUACAGUUUCAAGUAUCAAAUUGUUUGUAUCCCCUCCACCAGUCCUCCUCACCUUGUUUGAACGAUUGAGGGUCACCUUUGUAAAAAUUUGCAGCGGAGACCACAUUUCUAUAGUCUAGCCCAGAGAAAAUUUUGCCAUAGAUUUGAAAACGACGAACCUUUGAACAGGAGACAAGAACGCAAAGCUGCUGGCAUCAGGGAAAUUUUGUCAGCUGGAAAGAAAAUUAAGCUAAAGAAAAUGGUCAACUGGAUGAUCCUCACUCGCUCUGUCGAAAUUUCUUAAGAAUGUAAAUAACGGUAGAGUACAAAGCGUGUUUAUCACCCCAUCCCUACCAUAUAUGUGUAUUUGAAAAACCAGAAGAUUUAGGGCGUCCGAGCCUCUAUUUUUAAACAAAAACAAAGCAAUGUGUCCGAAGUAAUGAAGAGUGUGAAUGCUCAUUAUUCAUCUAGUAAGAAUCACCCCCAUCUUUCAGCAUCGGUGUGAAUGCCAUUUUUUUUUCUCUUAAUUGUUUUAUGUCUCAAAGUCAGUUUGGUGGUUAAUGGCCGUCGUGUGGGUCGCUUGCCAGUCGCUAUUUUGUUUACAAGAGGAUUGUGAUAAAACCCAAGUUCCUCCUCCAAACAAUUGAUCGUGUCUCUCGCCCCUCCACCCUUUAAGCCUCAUCAUUUCGCUGCAAUCGAAUGUUAUUUACUUUAUUUGUGAUCAUUUUGUAUUUUUUUUUUGUUCGUCCGUCUUUUCAUUUGUUUCCAAAAAGCAUACUUUUCUUUUUUUUUUCUUUUUUUUUUCUUUUUUUUCUUAAUUUUUAUAUAUAACUUUGUCUUUUCUAUUUCCUCAUGAAACAACAAAAAAAAAACAACUCUUGAAAUUGCUCCAGUUAUGUCUAUGUUUUUGUCAUUCGCUCUUUCCAUGUGACUAUGCAUCUCUGUCAUCCCUCUUUUUUUUACGGGUCCUUUAUAGGACCCACAAUUCGCUAAAGAGAAAAGAAUCGCAAACCGUUACACAAGUUUCUUAGAUUUUAAAGAAGUUUUAUAAUUUUUCUUUUUCACAGGCGAUUAACAUUUUGUAGGAUUUUACUCCCAAUAGUCUCGAGUAAAGUGGCUUGCAAAUUCCGAACUGGAUUUUAAUCAUCGCCAAUGCAACAGAGUGCCCGUCAGCCUUUAUGGAUCAAAAAUCAGGACAUAAACUGCAAACUACGAAUAUUUUAUUCCAUAACCUUGUUUAAUAAUCAAUACACGAAAUAUUUGAUAAUAAACUGAAAAACGAA